GGCUCGAUGGCAGAGUGGUAAUGCAUCCGCGUCUUUUAGACUGGAAGAGCCUUAUGGUUUCUGCGGAGGUCGCCUGUUCGAACCAGGCUCGAGCCA